GGUCUGGUGUUGAUGUUGCUCCUUCCUCUCUUUAUCCUGUGUUGCAGGAAGGAUGAUCAAGGACUAGACGCCCUCAGCAGAUGAAGGCAACCGGCAUCUCCAGCAUGGUCAGCCCUGCAGAGAGAUCGUCACUGCUGCGGGAGCUGAAGCAUCCCAACGUCAUCUCACUGCAGAAGGUGUUCCUGUCACACGCAGACCGAAAAGUCUGGCUGCUCUUUGACUACGCCGAACAUGACCUCUGGCACAUCAUUAAGUUCCACAGAGCGUCCAAGGCCAACAAGAAGCCCCUGCAGCUGCCCAGAGGAAUGGUGAAGUCCCUGCUCUACCAGAUCCUGGACGGCAUCCAUUACCUGCACGCCAACUGGGUCCUCCACAGAGACCUCAAACCAGCUAACAUUUUAGUGAUGGGAGAAGGGCCAGAGAGGGGCAGAGUAAAGAUUGCGGACAUGGGGUUUGCCCGCCUCUUCAAUUCACCGCUGAAGCCUUUAGCCGAUCUGGACCCUGUGGUGGUCACCUUCUGGUACCGAGCACCUGAACUGCUGCUGGGGGCUCGGCACUACACCAAAGCCAUCGAUAUCUGGGCGAUUGGCUGCAUCUUUGCAGAGCUGCUGACGUCUGAGCCCAUAUUCCACUGUCGCCAGGAGGACAUCAAGACCAGUAACCCCUACCAUCACGACCAACUCGACCGCAUCUUCAACGUCAUGGGCUUCCCUGCAGAUAAAGACUGGGAGGACAUCAAAAAGAUGCCAGAACACUCCACGCUGAUGAAAGACUUUAGGAGGAACACAUACACAAACUGCAGCCUCACAAAGUACAUGGAAAAACAUAAAGUGAAACCAGACAGCAAAGCAUUCCACUUGCUGCAGAAGCUGCUCACCAUGGACCCCAUCCGCAGAAUCACAUCAGAGCAGGCCAUGCAGGACCCCUACUUUUUAGAGGAGCCCCUGCCGACUUCAGAUGUGUUCGCAGGCUGCCAGAUCCCCUACCCCAAGAGGGAGUUCCUGACGGAGGAGGAGCCGGAGGACAAAGCAGAGAAAUCCAAUGUUCUUUUGUCAUUUUAUACUAGAAAAACCAGCAGCAGCAACAGGGGAACAACCACACUAAUGGGGCGGGGCACACAGGUAACCAAGACAACAGCCACACCCAGGGCCCGCCUCUGAAGAAAGUGCGAGUCGUCCCCCCCACCACUACCUCAGGUGGCCUCAUCAUGAACUCAGACUACCAGCGCUCCAAUCCACACGCUGCCUACCAGAACCCUGGACCAAGCACAUCACUGCCCCAAAGCAGCAUGGGAUACUCCUCGACCUCCCAGCAGCCGCCGCAGUACUCCCACCAGACCCACCGCUACUGAGACACCCCUCCCACACACACACACACACACACAUAUGCAAUCAUACACAUAUAUACGCAUACACAGCCCUCACCCUGCCCAUCUGAAAGAAUGUACUGAAGGAUGUGGUGGGGAUGUCCAAGGCAACAAACCCCCCCAACGUACAGAGGGCACUUUCUCUUCAGCAGGCUGUCAGGUCAGCACUUCUUCAAGAUAACACACAUUUCCCUGGUGUUAGAACAUGACUUUUAGAGCAACACCUGCAGGGUGAAACACAAGGGGGAAGAGCGGCACUUUGGAGUCCAACCUGUUUCUGUUACCUGUCUUAAUCAGACCAGCCGAGAGAAGAUGGCUUGGUUUUUCUUUUGGGGGGGGACACACACACACACACACGUCUGCUGUGUCAUCUCCUCCCCUCUUCUUCUUCACCUGUCUCCACACCCCCACCUUCCCCAGCCAUUUACCUUCUUCCCGUUGGAGCUUGGAUGAGACUAAGAGCUGCUAUGUGACUGCCAGCGGUGACAGAUUUCCUGUUCGACUGUCCUCCCGUCUGUCCUCCUGUCUAUCUGUUUCAUUUUGUGUGUGAGGGCUCAGCUGAGGACUGAACUGAGCUGCUGUGAUGCAUUCUGGGAGGGUGUGGAGCCCCCACAACUGUGAUGGUUUUUGUUCAGAAGGACAAAAAAAGAGGAUGACAACAAAAUAUUUUAGUAGUUAAUUUAAUCAGUUUUCAUGGUUUUGUUUUUAACGGCGAGCGUGUCUGAGCGCUCAGCUGCUGUACGCUGUGGGCUAGACGUACUACAUGAUGACAAAACCAACCAAUCGCAUGGAGGAUGGCAGACGGGACAUGCAUUACUGUAUUGUAUUGAAAUAUUUUACAUGAAGCAAGUAUCCUGACAAUAAAAGUGGAAACAUUGA